rnacentral:rRNA from 1 species
GUGGGGAAUCUUGCGCAAUGGGCGAAAGCCUGACGCAGCGACGCCGCGUGGGGGAAGAAGGCCUUCGGGUUGUAAACCUCUUUCAGGAGGGACGAAGCCACUCGGGUUAAUAGCCCAGAGGGUGACGGUACCUCCAGAAGAAGCCCCGGCUAACUACGUGCCAGCAGCCGCGGUAAUACGUAGGGGGCAAGCGUUGUCCGGAUUUAUUGGGCGUAAAGAGCGUGUAGGCGGCCAGGUAGGUCUGCUGUGAAAACUCGAGGCUUAACCUCGAGCUGUCGGCGGAAACCAUCUGGCUAGAGUCCGGAAGAGGAGAAUGGAAUUCCCGGUGUAGCGGUGAAAUGCGCAGAUAUCGGGAAGAACACCCGUGGCGAAGGCGGUUCUCUGGGACGGUACUGACGCUGAGACGCGAAAGCGUGGGGAGCGAACAGGAUUAGAUACCCUUGUAGUCC